GGAAGUUUGGCGCAGUGGUUAAAGCGCGUCUCCCGUUUAAGGAGAAGGUCCUAGGUUCGAAUCCUAGAACUUCCA
rnacentral:tRNA from 1 species